ensembl:lncRNA
CUCUGGGGCAUCCCUCACCUCUGGGGGCUCCCUAGGCCCUAUCUCUCCCCCGGGAGUCUCUAGAGGGAUAUGUCUUCCCUCUGGGGACCAAGGGAGCAUGUCUCCCCCCUACCCAGGCUCUCUGGGGAGCCUGUUUUCCUCCCAGGGUUCCUGGGAGUACUUAAGGCAUGUCAGUCUUGGGCCAUCUCUCUUCCCAGGGAAGGGGGCUAUCUCUGAAGCAUGUCUGGGAAGAGAUGUUUCUGGCCCUCCCCGCACCUCUCCUCCAGGGGUGUCUCUGACCUGCAGCUCUUGGGAUGAGACUGGGCAGCUCUAAGUUGUCUUUUCUCCUAGGGGCUCUGGGAUACCUCUAUCUCCUGAGGGCCCAGCCUCUGGAGCCAUUUCUUCCCUGGAUGGGGGCUGUCUCCUGGUGUUGGGUUGGCUUGUGUUGGCCAAGAGAAAGCCUCUUAGGGGGCGUCUCCACGUGGGACUUCUCUGGGAGGGGGGACUGUGUCUCGCCCAUGGGGUUUCCGGGCGGUGUGUCUGCCCGUGGGGAGGGGGAGACUCACAAUCCCGUUGAUUUGUAAUGAUUUCUGUCUCUCUUGUCUUUCUCUUUCUCUGACCGCCCCUCGCCCCCCGCCGCGAGCAUGCGCAGGCACCGCCCCUACCCCUCGGGUUCGGUUCGUUUCCGGUUUGUUUGCUGAGCUGUCAAUGAAAGACCCGUGUAAUUAUUCCCGAGCUUUACAAUAAAAGUGUGAAAACCGGAC